UGCCCCCCACUUUCCCGCCUUU
rnacentral:miRNA from 1 species